rnacentral:lncRNA from 1 species
GAAGGUUUUGAUUUUAAUAGAAGUUGUGACUCCAGUUCCUCGGAUCAGAUCCUCUGGGAGGACACUUUAGCACAUGAGGUCUAUUAGGAAGGUCGGCUUGGAUGUCCCCUGGGCUAAUUUAGUAUGGCAUAAGUUUCUCACCCCCCGGUAUUCUUUCAAUUUGUGGCUCUCUUUCCACAAAGGGUUACACACUAUGGAUAGACGGGCUAGCUUUGGU